CCUGCUCCAUGAACUUAAAUAGCCGCUUCAUUGUGCUAAGGUAGCAUAAUAACUUGUUUCCUAAUUAGAAAAUAGAAUGAAAGGAUAAACGUACUAAUUCUAUCUUACUAAUAAAAUUUUAAAUUUAAAUAAAUAUAAAAAUGUAUUUAUUAAAUAGGGGGACGAUAAGACCCUACGAACUUAUCUUAAAGAUUAACUGGGGAAGUUAAAUAAACAAAUUUUACUUAAAAUUAAUUAUAAAAGCUUUAAAGAAACCAAAUAAAGUUACCAUAGGGAUAACAGCGCAAUUCAUAUCUUAAGACCUUAUACAAAUAUGACAUUACGACCUCGAUGUUGAAUUAAUAUUACUUUUAUACGCAUAAUUAUAAAAAGUUAGUCUGUUCGACUUGUUAAAUAUUACAU
rnacentral:rRNA from 1 species